rnacentral:rRNA from 1 species
UACAGAGGUCUCAAGCGUUGUUCGGAUUCAUUGGGCGUAAAGGGUGCGUAGGCGGCGCGGUAAGUCGGAUGUGAAAUCUCGGAGCUUAACUUCGAAACUGCAUUCGAUACUGCCGUGCUUGAGGACUGGAGAGGAGACUGGAAUUCAUGGUGUAGCAGUGAAAUGCGUAGAGAUCAUGAGGAAGACCAGUGGCGAAGGCGGGUCUCUGGACAGUUCCUGACACUGAGACACGAAGGCCAGGGGAGCAAACGGGG